AGCGAACGCUGGCGGCAGGCUUAACACAUGCAAGUCGAGCGGGCGUAGCAAUACGUCAGCGGCAGACGGGUGAGUAACACGUGGGAACGUACCUUUUGGUUCGAACAACACAGGGAAACUUGUGCUAAUACCGAAUAAGCCCUUACGGGGAAAGAUUUAUCGCCGAAAGAUCGGCCCGCGUCUGAUUAGCUUGUUGGUGAGGUAACGGCUCACCAAGGCGACGAUCAGUAGCUGGGUCNGAGA
rnacentral:rRNA from 1 species